rnacentral:rRNA from 1 species
AUUGAACGCUGGCGGCAGGCUUAACACAUGCAAGUCGAGCGGAGAGAGGUAGCUUGCUACUGAUCUUAGCGGCGGACGGGUGAGUAAUGCUUAGGAAUCUGCCUAUUAGUGGGGGACAACAUUUCGAAAGGAAUGCUAAUACCGCAUACGUCCUACGGGAGAAAGCAGGGGAGCUGCGGACUCUGCGCUAAUAGAUGAGCGUAAGUCGGAAUAGCUAGUUGGUGGGUGAAAGGCCUACCAAGGAGACGGUCUGUAGCGGGUCUGAGAAGAUGGUCCGCCACACUGGGACUGAGAAACGGCCCCAACUCCUACGGGAGGCAACAGUGGGGAAUAUUUGACAAUGGGCGCAAGCCUGAUCCAGCCAUGCCGCGUGUGUGAAGAAGGCCUUAUGGUUGUAAAGCACUUUAAGCGAGGAGAAGGCUACUUUAGAUAAUACCUAGAGAUAGUGGACGUUACUCUCAGAAUAAGCACCGGCUAACUCUGUGCCAGCCGCCGCCGUAA